rfam:Triticum aestivum genome assembly, contig: Triticum_aestivum_CS42_TGACv1_scaffold_321445_4BL
UUUGUACUCCCUCCGUCCGGAAAUACUUGUCAUCCAAAUGAAUGAAAGGGGAUGUAUCUAGAUGUAUUUUAGUUCUAGAUACAUCCCUUUUUGUCCAUUUAAAUGACAAGUAUUUUCGGACGGAGGUAGUACUAA